rnacentral:lncRNA from 1 species
CUCCUUGAUUGAUGGGUGCAAAGCUCCAAAGCUCCAAAGCUCCAAGAAAAGCUCCUUGAUUGAUGGGUGCAAAGCUCCAAAGCUCCAAAGCUCCAAGAAAAGCUCCUUGAUUGAUGGGUGCAAAGCUCCAAAGCUCCAAGAAAAGCCCCUUGAUUGAUAGGUGCAAAGCUCCAAAGAUGCCAACCAAAGCUCCAAGAUUGAUGCGUGCAA